rnacentral:rRNA from 1 species
AACGAACGCUGGCGGCAUGCCUAACACAUGCAAGUCGAACGAGACCUUCGGGUCUAGUGGCGCACGGGUGCGUAACGCGUGGGAACCUGCCCUUAGGCUCGGAAUAACUCCCCGAAAGGGGUGCUAAUACCGGAUAAUGUCUUCGGACCAAAGAUUCAUCGCCUUUGGAUGGGCCCGCGUUGGUUUAGCUUGUUGGUAGGGUAAAAGCCUACCAAGGCGACGAUCCAUAGCUGGUCUGAGAGGAUGAUCAGCCACACUGGGACUGAGACACGGCCCAGACUCCUACGGGAGGCAGCAGUGGGGAAUAUUGGACAAUGGGCGAAAGCCUGAUCCAGCAAUGCCGCGUGAGUGAUGAAGGCCUUAGAGUUGUAAAGCUCUUUUACCCGGGAUGAUAAUGACAGUACCGGGAGAAUAAGCUCCGGCUAACUCCGUG